CGCGCUCCGAGGCCCAACAUCCCCGGCUACACCAGAACGUGGGGUGGGGUUCGAGACCCGGUACCACCGAGACGAAACCUCCGGACGGCCUAGAGCGGCCUGCGUGCGCUCACGCUUCCGGGUUGGCGGUGUGGCGGGCUCUACAGCUAUCGGUGCCCACUCACGGCCUGGUCUCCUCCGUUCCCAGCCUGCCACGAGCGGACCUCUUUGAAUGUCUACCUCAAACCUGUUCUCGUCUCCCAGCUGGAGGGAGGAGAAGCGCCUUGGGCCUCAGAAUAUCUGAGCGUCGGCAGUCCUGAUGCCAAAUCCUGGACCAAGGGCGAAGAGUAGUCUUUGCACCAGGAAGCCUCUGGAGAGAGAGCAGCCUGCAGCGUGCCUAGGGAAGAGGCACACAGAAAGUGCUCAGCGCUUUGACGGUGAGGCAGAUGUUCGGCUUCAGUCCAAACCUGAUCGUUCCAGGAGGCGUGAAGUUCUGUGAAUGUAAAGACCGGGAAAAUCUUCAGAUUCAACACCACGCUGUUUCAUCACCAGUGGCGUCACACUGGGGAAAAGCCCUUCAAAUGUAAAGAGUGCGGCAAAGUGUUCAAGUUCAGCUACGAGUGUAUCAUCCAUGAGAAGAGUCACCUUGGAGAGGGGCCCAUGAGUGCAAGCGGUGUGGGAAGUGUCUGAGUUCCAACAUGGUCUUAACCCAGCCCCAGAUGGUCCACAGCAGAGAGAAGCCCUGUGUCUGCCGGGAGUGCAGCAGGGCCUUCGGGAAGAGCUUGUCUGUCCUUCCAGCAUCUCAGGCUGCACACGCGGGAGAGGCCCUUCCGGUGUUAGGAGGGCCACAAAGCCUUUGGCUGCAGGUCACAGUGGAUUCACUCGGGGGAGAAACCUUACCAGUGUCCACAUUGUGGCAAGGCCUUCUCUCACAAGUGGCAUCCCUCCAGCAUCAGAGAGCACACGGGGGAGAAACCUUAUGAGUGCAAGGUGUGUGGGAAGGCCUUCAAGAGGUGCAGGAGUUUUGUUCAGCUUCAGAAGCUGCGCCCUGUGGAGACCAGGGCGACUCAGGAUGAUUCCCAGGGCCUCCCUCCAGCCUUAGCUGCUGCAGCUGUUGCCUCUGCUGGCCUUUGCUCGCUCUGUAGUGAUUCCUGCUUCCAGCCCUUAGCUCACGGUGCUGCCAGCAUAUGAAGUACCCUCCUCGUCUGCCCAUAUAGUGCCUGUCUUCCAGGGCCUGCCUUCAGCAGUGAAGGCUUCCCGGUGUGGUGAUUCCUUCUUGGCCCUCUGCGGCUUUGUCUUAGCACUUCAGUUGGCUCUUCCACCAGCAGCCGGUGCCUCGUAAACUCAGUGAAUUCACUUAAAGACUGUGCGUAGGUAGAGAACAGAACACCGGCCCCUGCAGACUCACAACAAGGGAUGUGUGCACACUGUAAGUCUGUUGGGCUUGGAGAGCUGGCCUGUCAGAUUGGUAAGCCCCUGCACUGGCCCGCUGUAAUUAGAAGCAACCUAGGGGCCAGUGAGAUGGCUCUCGCAACCUAGCCAAACAACCUGAGUUCAGUUCCUUGGGAUCCACACAGUAGAAAGAGAGAACUGACUCCCAAAUUUUCCUCUAACCUCCACAUGGGCGCCCUGGCACAAGGGCACCCCUAUAGACACACACACACACAUACACACACACACACACACACACACACACAGAGAGAGAGAGAGAGAGAGA